rnacentral:rRNA from 1 species
GGGAAUAUUGGACAAUGGGGGCAACCCUGAUCCAGCAAUGCCGCGUGUGUGAAGAAGGCCUUCGGGUUGUAAAGCACUUUCAAUAGGGAGGAAAAGCUGUGCGUUAAUAGCGUAUAGCCGUGACGUUACCUAUAGAAGAAGCACCGGCUAACUCCGUGCCAGCAGCCGCGGUAAUACGGAGGGUGCAAGCGUUAAUCGGAAUUACUGGGCGUAAAGCGCGCGUAGGCGGUUUGCUAAGUCAGAUGUGAAAUCCCCGGGCUCAACCUGGGAAUGGCAUUUGAGACUGGUAGGCUAGAAUGUGGUAGAGGUGAGUGGAAUUCCAGGUGUAGCGGUGAAAUGCGUAGAUAUCUGGAGGAACAUCAGUGGCGAAGGCGGCUCCCUGGCCAAAGACUGACGCUCAUGUGCGAAAGUGUGGGUAGCGAACAGGAUUAGAUACCCUGGUAGUCCACGCCCUAAACGAUGUCAACUAGGUGUAUGGGAAAUAUAUUUCUUGUGUAUCGAAGCUAACGCGAUAAGUUGACCGCCUGGGGAGUACGGUCGCAAGACUAAAACUCAAAUGAAUUGACG